GAUGAACGCUGGCGGCGUGCCUAAUACAUGCAAGUCGAGCGAACAGAUGAGGAGCUUGCUCCUCGGACGUUAGCGGCGGACGGGUGAGUAACACGUGGAUAACCUACCUAUAAGACUGGGAUAACUUCGGGAAACCGGAGCUAAUACCGGAUAAUAUAUUGAACCGCAUGGUUCAAUAGUGAAAUACGGUUUUGCGGUCACUUAUAGAUGGAUCCGCGCCGCAUUAGCUAGUUGGUAAGGUAACGGCUUACCAAGGCAACGAUGCGUAGCCGACCUGAGAGGGUGAUAGGCCACACUGGAACUGAGACACGGUCCAGACUCCUAAGGGAGGCCGCAGUAGGGAAUCUUACGCAAUGGGCGAAAGCCUGACGGAGCAACGCCGCGUGAGUGAUGAAGGUCUUCGGAUCGUAAAAAUCUGUUAUUAGGGAAGAACAAAUGUGUAAGUAAAUAUGCACGUCUUGACGGUACCUAAUCAGAAAGCCACGGCUAACUACGUG
rnacentral:rRNA from 1 species